GGGCUUCUUGUUUAAAGUCUAUAGAUGUUUGUAAUUUAACUUCUCCUUUUGCUUUGUAGUUGUUCCCUUCUAAGUCCUUUGAUGAUGGUUUUUUAAUAAAAGUUUUGUUACCUCCCAUUAAUAAAAAUAAAAAUAAAAAUAAAAAUCCAACAUAGUGAACUCCAAGCCAGCUUGCUCAUCAAGGGAGUGACCCUCUAUUUUUUUUUUUUUUUUUUUUUAAAGACAAUCUAGAUCAAAAUUCUAACCUGCUUGAUGGUCCGAUUCAUUGUAUGAUUGUAGCCUGCCGUAUUAGUGGACCUGCCAGAUUUGUGCUGGUGGGGCCACUUUAUGCAUGACUCAGAUGUCCUACAUUGGUGAUGUGUUGGCAAGUGAGUUGGGCUGCAUGUGAAGUUCUGAUGCAACGAGAGUUCUUGAUGUAGAUCUAGUUCUUGUUUGCAACAGCAAGUGAAUCCCAGUCCCUCCAAAACACCAUGCGCUCAUGCAGAAAAUAGAAAGCAAGUUUGCAUCUCUAUUUUACAUACCAGACCUAGGUAUUGGGGGUUGUAAACCACUAGAGAAUGAGGGAGAAAUUGAAGAGUGUAUUGUGGGUUGAACCAAUAGUCCACUAUCUGUACACUAGUAUUCACUACUCUGUUGUACGGAACAUUGGUAGUUUUUUGCGGGUUUUUAGGAAACUGCCCCUUUUUAGUUGCAGAUCUUGCAAAAUUAAAAAAGCUCAUUCUCUGACAAAACAGGCGAUUCUCAUAUAAGUUGUAUUAUGUAUUGUUAUUUGUAUAAUGUAUUUAUAUUUAUGUUUUUUAUGUCUAUUUGGAUUAUGCUAAAAUAUGGAAAUUGAAGUGUAGGGCUUCCCGGAGAGAAAAGCUCGAGUGCAGCGCUUCAUAAGGCAAGCGAGCUCUGGUGAGCGGUAGCAGAUUCAGUGUUUAAGCUUCUGUUGUGUUGAUCAGUCAUCAGUGUCCCACUGUCCGUAGUCUUUGCUAGUCCCUAUUUGUAACUGGAAGCUCGGGUAGAGAUCAGGCCUUUCCCUGGUGUGCACCCUGGCUUCUUGUAUACAAAACAGAAUUUUUUUUUUCCAUUCAAAUUAACUGCAAUUUACUGCGCCAGUUGCAUUGUUCAGUUUGCUGAUUCAGUUUUUAACACGUCAAAACUGAGAGAAAGAUAGGCUCGAUAGUUGAAUGCUCUUUCUUGUGGAACCGAAUGCAGUAUGGUACAAGUAUAUUCUGGAACUAUCUUAUAAAACCCAUGUUAAGGAAGUAUGUUUGACAGAUGAAGCUACCAAGCAAUAAUUUCAAAAAGGGGGCAGCCACAAUUUACACCCACCUUUGUCACUAGCAUACAGUCAAUUUUUCCAUUUGGGAAUUGAAAUAGUACAAAAGCAUAAUAUUUCAAUUCUCACAAUGGAAAAAUGGUGGGUGUGGAUGAUAUCAACUUCCUUCUUAAAAUAUAUCAAACUCCCUAAUUAAACUACAUCAUUUCUUAAUCCAUAUUCAUGCCUAGUCCUAUGACAAACUUGUAAAGGCUCCAAAAGCAUAGUUCAGCCAAAAAAACUUUCCACCAACACAACUAUCCAUGUUCAUAGAAACUUCUGAGAGAUUUAGUGCAGAACAAGUUACCUUUGAUGUGCCAGUGACGAACUGCAAGAGACGAGCUUUAUCCUCCUCGCUGAAACAUUGGACCACCUCCCAAAACCAUUGGAUUACAGGAGAUACAGUAGUGUAGCCAGAGUAUUCUAUGUUCGCCCUCAUAUCAUCCACUGCAAGGUGGUCAAACAUUGAAAUAUGUAUGACACUACAUAUCAUACCACAACAUUAAUGAGGUUCUUCUCAUCUCUCUUACUUGAUUCAUGAAAAUAGGCUACGAGGAUUUCAGCUGUUGUCUGCAUAGUUGCAUGGUUUGCUAUUUACUUCUCUCAGUUUUGAUAUCUACACUAAAUGAACUUCCAUGGUUAAUUAAAUCGAUUCUAGGAACAAAUUUGCGAGAUCGUUGACAGUCAUCUGGUGGGUCCCACCAUGAACGCCCUAGUCCAAACAUAAAGCAAAUGUACUCAUCAGCUGCACCACAUUGUAUGGCAAUUGCAGAAAGUGUAGUCAUUAAUUUUCCAACCAUCCAUUUUCAUCAUACAUGUGCAGCCCGUCUGAUUAACAUACUAAGGGCCCACAUGAUAGAUGGCCAAUGAUAGCCUAGCACUUCUCUUUCAAUUGGAACUAUUUCAAUUGCUUGCCUUCAAGUGUUCUACUCUUUCAUGUCAAUGAAACUGAGAAAUUCUACAGAAUUAUGUACAAGCAGUGGAGCAUGUGCCAGUGUAGCACAUUGCACAUUUGUCAGCUGGGGGCUGUCAUGAACAUGCCAUGGUGCAAAAUUCGGGUCUCUCCAGUCAUCAACCAAAGGAGGUUGGAAAAAAGAUGAUAAACAGCCUAUACUCAAUGUAUGCUUGUAGCCCACCUGAUGAGUGGACUGGAUCCUAAUAUAUCUACAUUGGCACAUGUGCUGCUGUGAGCAAAUCAUGUCAGAAAUUUCUCCACUUUAAGAUCUUUUUUUUUUCCAAACUUUUGUAUAUGGUACUGUUUUUCAGGUUCCGAUAACAGCAUUGGGUGCAAUCCUAACUGAUUGGAUGGAAGUGAUUGAUUUUCUUCCUUCAUUGCUCGUCCAUGAUGGGUGGUUUUAUGAGCAUUAUGCUUCCAUUCUAUGGAUUUCUCCUCAUGGUGUUUAUUUCCUCAUGCUUGCAGAUAGGAUCCAAGGCAAAAUGGGUGAAGGUGCAAGCUGGUCUUUCUGCACUUGAAGAUGCAAUAGAGGCAGGAUAUGAAGAUUUCAAGUUUCUUGAAGUAGUUUGACUCGAAGGACAUGCCAUCACCCAAAAAGAAGCUAUUCUGUCAAGAGAUAUCCAUCUCCUGUUUGCCAGCGACACAUGUACGGCUGGGACUAUUAGGAGAAAAUAGUCAUUGGUGAUAGUUUGAAAAAUCAACUUCUCUUUUGAUAGUUGGAAAUUAAUGUAUGCAUGGCUGAUCGAGAGGAUAUAUCCACUACAACACAACGAGUGCACUGUCAUUAUCUUUUAGCCACUUUCUAUACAGCGCACCAUACUAAAGUUUGAAUUGCAAUUUGUGCUGCUAUGGUCUCUGUUUUCAGUAUGGUGUAGGAGGACAGACGAGCUUGUUGAUGGCUAGGUUUUCAUGUUCAUUUGGUUAGGUUUUGGAAGCCUUUGGAGUAGACCCCAUCAAGGGGUUUACAGAUUCUCAGCUAGAGCUUCAUUCUGGAUCUCGUCUUUAUUAUGUUUAUGCAGGUGGUGGAAAAUGCAAAAAUCUAGGCAGAAACGGUAUGGAUUUUUUUUAAAAAAUAAAUCCGGUCUUUUUUUAAUGGUCAGAGAAAGUUCUAUAUUACAACGGUUCUUUUAACUGUAUAGCUAAUUUCAUUUUUUUGCUGACAUUGUUGUGGGAGGCAGCCAUGAUACGAUUGGAUAUAAGUGAAUAUAUGGAGCGGCAAAGAAAGUAGUUGGCAAGAUUAAAGUGGAAGUAGCAGCAUCCACACUCGGAGAAGUAGAGGCUCUCUUGGAAUGGAAAGCCAGCAUCUUCUCACCACAAGCUCCUCCAUUCAUUGUCACUUCCAGCUGCU